UAAACUACGAUUAGAUACCCUAUUAUUUUAAAUGUAAAUAUUUUGCUUAGGUAUUAUUAGGUAUUUCUUUAAACCUAAAGAAUUUGGCGGUGUUUUAGUCUACUCAGAGGAACUUGUCUCAUAAUCGAUAGUCCUCGUUUUAUCUUAUUUUAUUUAUUUAGUAUGUAUAUCGUCGUUAUAAGUUUAUUUUUUUAGGAUAUUUACUUUUUAUUUUAAUUAAUAUUAUUUCAGAUCAAGGUGCAGUUUAUAAUAAAAUGUUGAUGAGUUACAUUAUAAUAUAUAUAUUAUGAAUAUUGUUUUUAAAAAUAUGUUGAAGGUGGAUUUGAUAGUAAUUUUAUUUAUAGAGAUUUUAUGAUUUUGGCUCUAAAAUGAGUACACAUCG
rnacentral:rRNA from 1 species